rnacentral:rRNA from 1 species
CGCGCAGGCGGUCGUUCAAGUCGCGUGUGAAAGCCCCCGGCUCAACUGGGGAGGGUCACGCGAUACUGGUCGACUCGAAGGCAGGAGAGGGUAGUGGAAUUCCCGGUGUAGUGGUGAAAUGCGUAGAUAUCGGGAGGAACACCAGUGGCGAAGGCGACUACCUGGCCUGUUUCUUGACGCUGAGGCGCGAAAGCUAGGGGAGCAAACG